GCCGGGGUGUUGGAAUUGGCAGACAACACAGACUUAAAAUCUGUUGUUUCGUAAGAGACGUGCGGGUUCAAGUCCCGCCCCCGGCA
rnacentral:tRNA from 1 species